AACGAACGCUGGCGGCAUGCCUAACACAUGCAAGUCGAACGGACCCUUCGGGGUUAGUGGCGCACGGGUGCGUAACGCGUGGGAAUCUGCCCUUGGGUACGGAAUAACUCUCCGAAAGGGGUGCUAAUACCGUAUGAUGUCGCGAGACCAAAGAUUUAUCGCCUGAGGAUGAGCCCGCGUUGGAUUAGCUAGUUGGUGAGGUAAAGGCUCACCAAGGCGACGAUCCAUAGCUGGUCUGAGAGGAUGAUCAGCCACACUGGGACUGAGACACGGCCCAGACUCCUACGGGAGGCAGCAGUGGGGAAUAUUGGACAAUGGGGGCAACCCUGAUCCAGCAAUGCCGCGUGAGUGAUGAAGGCCUUAGGGUUGUAAAGCUCUUUUACCCGGGAAGAUAAUGACUGUACCGGGAGAAUAAGCCCCGGCUAACUCCGUGCCAGCAGCCGCCGUAACAC
rnacentral:rRNA from 1 species